rnacentral:rRNA from 1 species
UACGUAGGGUGCAAGCGUUAAUCGGAAUUACUGGGCGUAAAGCGUGCGCAGGCGGUUAUGUAAGACAGGUGUGAAAUCCCCGGGCUUAACCUGGGAAUUGCGCUUGAAACUAGCGGGCUUGAGUGUGGCAGAGGGGGGUGGAAUUCCACGUGUAGCAGUGAAAUGCGUAGAGAUGUGGAGGAACACCAGUGGCGAAGGCGACUCUUUGGUCUGUAACUGACGCUGAGGCGCGAAAGCGUGGGGAGCAAACAGG